rnacentral:rRNA from 1 species
UACGGGGGGAGCAAGCGUUGUUCGGAUUUACUGGGCGUAAAGGGCGCGUAGGCGGCCACCGCAAGUCAGUUGUGAAAUCUCUGGGCUUAACCCAGAAAGGUCAACUGAUACUGCGGGGCUAGAGUGCAGAAGGGGCAACUGGAAUUCUCGGUGUAGCGGUGAAAUGCGUAGAUAUCCGAAAGAACACCGGAGGCGAAGGCGGCUUGCCGGAACGCGCUCGACGGUGAGGGAUGAAAGCUGGGGGAGCAAACCGG